GUUAUCGUGGACACAUCUGUUCCCUUUUCCCCAAGAACACAUCUAUCCCCUUUCCUCUACAAGCGAGCAGCUGGUGGCGGCGGCGCUAGUCUCGGCCACCUGCGGCCAAGGAAAAAUGGAGGAUGCUGGUCUCGAGUUUCUGCUCGUUGCCGUGGACAGGUUCCCGCUGAGGGAGGAGUUCGGGGACAACAUUAAACACCCAGAUCCGGUUCCUCUGGUCUUGUUGCCCACAAGAGAAGCCAACCGUAGCAAUCCUGAAGACUCAGAUGCCUUGUUUAGUUGAGGUUAAUGGGUCAGCGACGAAGGACCUGAAAAGGCACGAGGUGGAGGCCGCCGUCUUCCAAAUUCAUCUCCAACUAGGUCGGCACAGUCAAGUAACAGAGUCAACCCAGAGGCCCCAGGUUGGACAAAAAGGUGAACCUAAAGCCCAUGCCGCUGAUUAACUAUAUGUUGAUCCUUUUGACUAUCCAAAAUCAGUUUAGGUAGCAAAAAUCGUUUAGAAACUGAGAAUCUGAUCUAGAUAGAUUAGUCGUUGGCAGCCGAUCCUUAUUGGCAGAAUGGCAGAAAGUACACUGCUGUUAGUGUUGAGAUUCUAGUAUACUGAAUGUGUGCAUUUGCAAAAAUUCAGAUUGCCAUACCAACUGCAGCUUUCGGCUUACUCUGCACGUCAGGAGUGCUUCAAUGAUAUUGCCUUUCACCUGGUACACAACCGCCAAAAGAAAAUUAAGCUAGCCAUAAUGAGUGUAGUGAAUUGAUACGAGAAUAGUGUCUCUAUUAAUACUGAUAUACACUAGAAUACAAAAAACUGUGGACAAAAAAUUCAAAGUCUUCUGUUUUAAAGCACAAACCUUGAAGCUAGAAUAGGUUUUGGAUUGCCACACUCCUUCAAAGAAGAAAGGAGGUAGGACUGAGACAUGUAUAAAGCCGCAUCGAGGCCAGGACAUAGAGAAGGGUAACUUUUGGGAUAAGAGGCUUGUUCUAAACACCAAAGAAAACAUAGUUUUAGAGCAAAGCACGGGUAGGGUUUCUAAAAGCACGAAAUAAUACUCACGGAAGUCCAUAUUUGCAUGGUGUUUUUGCUAUGGAAGGACCUGCAAAUUCAAUGUGGAAUCUGAAGUGGCCUCCUUAAAAAUAACAUCUGGUUUAGCCUGGAUAGGAUGUAAAAAAAGAGAAAAAAACUAUUGCUUUCCGUAUGUUUCAACUACUGUUGUACAGGUAGUGAAAUUAUGAUGUUUAUUUUCCUUUUGCUGAUUUGGGAAUUUUGAUAACAAGGAUCUUUGUGCUGGUGUUGCGGUUCAUUCAGUUUCAAGGGAAAAGAUAUAUGUGUGGUUUCUUUUCUUUUCUACAAUAGAAUUUGAACUUGUUGUGCAAAAAUAGAAAAAAACUUCCUGGAUUCUAUGAAAGGUUGUUGAUGUCCGUACAUGAAAUGAGAAGAAGUAUGGACACUUGAUGAGCAAGACAAUAUUAGGAUUCUAUGGUGUAAUUUGUAAUACGGCAAUUACAAAUUCGUGUGGAAUUGCAGAGACGGGUUGGUGCAGAUGUGGCAAAUUGAUGUUGGUUUUUCCUCUUAGGUUCUUGCAAGUAUUACAUUUUCUGUAGGCAUUAAUUGUGGACAUGUUUCUCAUAAACUUUCUUACUUCAAAUCCAGUACUUUAAUAAUUAUCGUCAAAGUGUUGUUCCAUGUUGUGUUCCUGGACUUCGUGUGGUACGAGCCGAUGAUUCUUUUGGGUUUAGUUUAGCUGUCCCUGCAGAAAUUUGGGCAUGUUUAGUACUUUAGUUAUGUUCUCAGACUACUUAUUUCUGUGAUCUUCAGCGAUGAUGGAAACUGGAGUGCAUCUUAAUUUGUCUAUAUAUUCUUGCAGUGGAGAAGGUAUGUCAAACAUAUAUUUGAUCAUUCCAACGUUUGGCACUUAAAGCAUGUGCUUUUAUAUGCAGAUCUUGCUGGUGUUCUAUCAUGCAUUUAUGUGUUUUAGUUUUCUUUUCCGCAAACAUAUUUUAGUCCAUCUGAGAUCAUGUGGUAGUUCCCAAAUCUCCAAGAUUAAGAAACCAAAAGAUGAAUAUGAUACAAAGGUGCUCACAGUAGAACCCCCUUAAUUUGUUGGAUAAGUAUUAUCUAUUAGAAACAAGAUAAUUCUCCACCUCAUAACUUCAUGAACUCAGAAGCUGGGAAACUGGUCAUAAAGCGAGGCUUUCAUAUUAUAAUUCGUUCAUUUUUUCAUGGGUUAUAAGUUAAUGGUUCAUUGAGUGCAUGCAUGAGCUGCUAAGUUGCAUCAGCUAUGAGUUUACAAUAUGCAAAUGACACUAACAACGAUAUGACGCAAAUUUAGGUGAUGACCAAACAAGAGGCUGUUGAUGAGAUCACUACUUUUGGAGGUGGCAAUCAGCAAAUUUUAUCCGGGCAUCGUGCAUAGGUGGUGCAAAAAUGGCAUGUGCUAAAGAAAACGAAGGAGACAUUGGGCCCUCUGUACACGAAGAAGAGUGAGUUCCAGGCUGAGUUCCAUGAGGUUGUGAACCACAUGCUAACUGAAGAUGAGUUUGAGACGGCGUUGGCUACGCUGUUAGAUAAGUACGAUCUGAGAAAGCACCCCUACAUGACCCAAAUAUACGACAUCAGAAAGGUGGGCAAAACCAUAUUUCAAGGGUUUUUUCUGUGCCAAGAUGACGAGCAUACAACGCAGUGAGAGCGUUUCCCCAUUUUUGGCUUGUGACAGGGACAGACUAAGCAUUUGCGGAAGAAGAUUGCUUACGAGAUAGUGACAAUGAAAGGGAACAAAGGAGCUAUCCCAGAGUUUCUGUAUGAUGUGAUCGUUGACUGAAGUGGAAGAUAGUAGUAGGUGUAUCUUUUGGCUGUGCGUGUGCUAGGCAGUUGGAUUAACCCGACUAAGUAGUGGGGUCAUUUUGCGGCACAAUCCCUACCAUCUUGUAUUUUGGGAAAACUAUAGUCAUGUCAUAUUUUCCCAGGUGGGAAUCUAAUUAGACUAAGUGAAAACUGGUUAUGUUGUGAGACGAAAUGACCAUGUGUCUACA